rnacentral:misc_RNA from 1 species
GUGCAGACUAUUCAAGCUGAUAACAGAUCCGUCAUUUCUGCCAAACCAAAUAUCCUCCAGCGUCCUCCAAUCGCUAUAGCACCGUUAAAAUUAGUCAGCAAUAAACCGGAGGAGGCAAUAGUAAUUGAUGAUGAUGAUUAGAAAAAUGUACACUAAAAAUUAAUUGUAUUGAUUACACAGACUUCGCCUUGUUUUGUAGAAUCUGAAUUUUUUUUAUCAUUGUACAGUAUUAUAUAUAUAUAUGUAAUUAAUGAGAUUUGUACAAAUUUAAUGAUUUAAUUAUUUAUGCUUAAUUUUAUUGGAAUUGAUUAUUAGAUUCCUAUAAUUUAUGUUUGUAAUAGAUUAUUACAAUGACAAGACAAAAGGCUGCGUUUGUACAUUAUGCCGAUUUUUCUCUUUCCACACAAUUAGCUGCUGUUGCAGUAAUCAACACUUCCUGUAUCUUCCUCUCAAUGUUCCAGUAACAAUUUGUAUAGCAAAGCCAAGGAAAACAAUUUCUGGACUCAUCAUUCUACUGCGGCAUUUUUUAAAAUUUGAUUUUGUUGUGAUUUUGAUUUCCCAUUCAUCCAGAUACUUUAUUGUUUAUUCCACCUUGUAUGUCAGAAGUUCUACUUUUGACUAUUUUUUGCAGCUAAACUCCAGCGUUAUGAUGAGUUGCUGGUAUAUGGAGGAUGAGAUGAACAAUCAGAUUUUAAUCUGGGACAGGCAUUAAUUCUACUCCUUUCUUAGUUUUUGGUAAAGAGGUGGUUGCCACAGAAGAUGGCAUUGAACCCUCUGUGUAUUGAGUGAUUUAUGUUCAUUAAGCAUUGAAAUCAUUUUUACUUAUUUGAUGCAUCUUUUCAUGAGUUUGCAGCACUGUACCUGUGUGCAGUGAAUAUUCAGGUCAGUAUACAUGUGGGACAGGUGUAAAAGACAGAUUGUAACAAGUUUUUAUCAAAUUUUUCUGUAUGUAUGGCGAUCACUUUUUUGUGAUGCGGACUUGUACAAGAAUUAAAACCACGGCAGAUU